UAAAGUGUGUGGCUAUCGGCUUGCGGUCACACACGCACACGCAUCAGAUAAAUAAAGGAGCAGCAUUAACGGUGACACGCUAUCACGGAGCAGAUUUGCAGCAGCUCCCAAAUUGCAGGUCAUAACGAAUGCCAUUAAGAACGCAUUUCUGUCUGCUAAUUUAAUGCAAUAAAACGUGCACAGUUGCUCCAAUUGGUGGGAAGUGCACCUCGACGUCGUCACAUCAGUGUUUUAUGGAUUGUAUGUUCGUUCAGACGGCGCCAAGGGUUAGUCACGACGUCUGCCGCACGGAUGAGGCUUAGUGCAGUCACGACACGGCACGGCACGGCACGGAACGACACGACACGACACGACACGACACGACACGACACGACACGACACGACACGACACGACACGACACGACACGACACGACACGGCACGGCACGGCACGGCACGACACGACACGGCAGCCCUCUUGCAUCCAUCCAUCCAUCCAUCCAUCCAUCCAUCCAUCCAUCCAUCCAUCCAUCCAUCCAGUCACGAGCGUCAUCCUGCAAUGCUGCACGUUCGAACGUAAGGAGCACCAAUCGUCUCAUUAGUCUCUUUCCCAACCUUGAUUGAACCUGCAGGACACGUUUCAUUUGAAAACCUUGCACGGGUGCCUUUUACUUUCCAACUUCCUCGUGGGCGGAAGUUUUGAAGAAUGGCUUUUUGGGCUAAGAUUCAUUCCCAGACGACCAACACAACCAUUUAGACAUCGCUCAAACGAAGUGAGGCUGCUGUCUGUUGCCCUCAUUCAGCGUGGGCUACGUCGAGCCGGCAUGAUCCUUAGAGAAGCCACGCUUUCCCGUGUCAUGAGCCGGGUCACCUGGUCCAGACUGAGUCCUGCCACCGCUUCCCCAUUCACCUGAAUAAUCUCAUCAGCCACGCCCAGGAGACCCACGUAAGGAACGUCGCCAGUUCCGUCGCCCACUUUCUCCACAUAAACGCCUGCAAGAACACAAUGAGAACUUUGCAGGCUUGCCCAUCCCCCAUCUGUACAUUGCACGCCAUACCUGUGUCAGGUCUGCCUUUGCCCCUUGAGAUGACAAAACCAAAAGGACCAUUUGGGGGUCGGAUAAGCUCGAGGAGAAGAGACCCGUCCGGAAAGGCCUGAGAAACCCUCCCCGCUGGUCGCAGCACCCUGGAUGGUAUGACGUCUUCACCGCUCAGGCUCCGGUGGGCUUCCAGAAGAGGACUGUCAGGACUUUGGCAGAACAAGUACUUCUUUCACUGAGCACCAAGCGAGGUCCGCUUCACGCCACGUGCCUCGCUUCGGGGAAUGGACUUACCUUGGCGCUAGGCCAUAAGCCAGGUAGAGAGAGUAGCACCAAACCGUGUGCAGGCUCUGCAGAGAGGGCGUCCUCUGUAUCCCAACGCUGGGAUGCCGCCUGCGCGUGGGGCUCGGCGAACUCGCGUUGGACCUGCUGGCGGCGGGAACGCUGAGCUGUUCCAUGCUACUGGAACGGCUUCCCUUCACAAGUCUGCCCACGCUGUUCAGGCCGAUGGAGGAAAAGAAGCGACGCAAGAAAAGCUUGGGUCGACCGUCCGGCUUCCUGGAAAGAAAGGAAGAAAGAAAGAAAGAAAAAGAAAAAGCACAGCGGCGUCCCAGACGUCGGCAGCCGGCACGUCCGGGUUGAGACGAGCAGGGGAGUACCUCAGCGUGGAGGGCCGGAUGCACGCCGCCGGGUCGCUGCUCACCAUCGCGAGGGACGAGGCAGGCGACUCCCUCCGGAC